GUUGAUUCUUCUCAUACUUCAAAUUUGUAUGGAAAUACUCUAGUGCAUUCAUAUGAAGCUGAAAUGCUUUAGCAUAGCUUCCCGCAUCAUCCUCCUUAACAGCUUGUGAUUUUGAGUUUUGACUGUUACGGUCUUAAGUUGGGUUCCUCUAAUUUUAUACUAAAAGAAAAUGGGUUUGAAAAGUGGAGAAGACAAAAGAAAAAGAUUAAAUUGAGCAGAAGAGAAUUUGUGCACAAAGAUGUUUGUUGAAAUGCAAAGUUUCAGCAUAAUUCUUCUUAUCAUAGCCUUUGAAAAAGAAACAAAGUGACAAAAUGUGAGAGAAUCAGAGAAUGGAGUGAGAGAGAGAGAGCGAGUACAGAGUGAUCAAGAAAGAGAGGAGACACAGAAAGAAACAGAGUGAACGAAGAGGGAGAGAGCAACGAGGAGAGAGAACAAGUUUGGAAGAGAGAGAAUGGAAAGUGAGGAGAGAGAUUUUUUUUUUUUUUUCUCUGCAAGUGGCAUGUCAAUAUGGUUAAGCUGGAACCUUUCUCAUUAGGUAAGAUGGAGUUUUAUUAUUAUAUGCAUGAAAUUAUAGUCGAAUGAAUUUUAUAUUGCAAGUUAAAGUUCAGAGAUGAUGCUAUUACAUUGUCCUAAGUUCAGGGACAACAGGUGAAAUUUACCCUAGACUUUGCAUAUCCAUAUUGGUGCAUUUUUGUCUUGCUACUUAACUCACUUUUGAGUUUUGAUACAGAAAUGAGUAGACAUAGGAAAUGUUUACUUUUAGCUGUUUCAAAAAUUGAUAUUUUGUUGAAUGCAAAAUCCUGAUUUUUAAGCUUAUGUGGAAACAAAUGCGAAAUUCUGUUGAAUUUGAAUGCUUUUUAGAUUUCUGAUAUUACUCGCGUAAUGAUAGGAACAAACCAAUUUGAACUUGGCAGAGAUCAACUAGAGAUUUUUCUUGCAUAAGCUUAACACACUCCCCUGAUUUCUUAAAAAUAUAUGUUUAACCGUUGGUUUGGCUCCAUGUUUUCAGAAUUUAAAUGUAGCCUUUUUACUCUUGUUACUUAUGCUGACUGGAUACCUUUACAGAAACAAUUUUAUUGUCAAUAUAAAACAGGAAUAUCCUUAUUAUCUCAUGCAAUUUCUGUAAUAAAGUUUGCUGCAUGGGAACUUCUCUUCGUGUCUAUUUUCUCCCUUGUGCAACUUUAGCACUUCAAAGGGCAAAAUGUAACUUGAGUCUAUGUGGAAACCAGCUUUAUAAUUUCCACAUAAAUAGUAUAAAAUACCUACAAACUCAUGGAAUUUGACUUGAUGUGUUUAGUUUAGAUUGAUGUUCCAGGUUGAAGUACCUGCCAUCUCAACUCCUUGAUUGAUCUUAGGAUAGCAUCAACUGAUAAUAUCUCAUAGAAUCCUCCUGUUAGACUGUCCCAAUUUAGAAUGGGGGCAUUCAAAGUUUAAGUUUCUUGACCUCUCAUUUGUUCUCUUUGCAGGAUUUGCAACACCUCUAUAACAUGGCUUGUGGACUUCCAUCAUGGCUGCCAGCAGGACGAUCAUUAGAAGGUGUUAUGUAACAAUUUUUUUUAACAAUUAAACUAGCGUUUCAAAGUGAUCCAGAUGAAUAUUUGUUUCUUUGAAUGAUAUAUUCUCAGGAGUAUCUUGAGUGUGAAAGAAAUACAAAUUACUGAAUAACUAGCCAAUUUGCAUUAUUAGUUGCCAGUACAUUUUGUGGCAUUUACCCCUCUUUCUCAAAUUGCUAGUCAUUCUGUAUUCUUGAAGGAUGAAUGGCUACCACUGAGGUAGCAAUUUUGAAAGUUAUUAAUGGCUGCUUAGCUUGUUCAUCCUUGGUUGGAUUAUUUGCAUUGCAUACUAUUAAGGAUUAUGGCAGGUGUACAACGUGAACAAUCU
rnacentral:misc_RNA from 1 species